rnacentral:sRNA from 1 species
CAAGUGAUGCAUGACGUGGACCAAUUGC